GAAAGUCUGACGGAGCAACGCCGCGUGAGUGACGAAGGCCUUCGGGUCGUAAAGCUCUGUUGUUAGGGAAGAACAAGUACCGUUCGAAUAGGGCGGUACCUUGACGGUACCUAACCAGAAAGCCACGGCUAACUACGUGCCAGCAGCCGCGGUAAUACGUAGGUGGCAAGCGUUGUCCGGAAUUAUUGGGCGUAAAGCGCGCGCAGGCGGUCUCUUAAGUCUGAUGUGAAAGCCCACGGCUCAACCGUGGAGGGCCAUUGGAAACUGGGGGACUUGAGUGCAGAAGAGGAGAGUGGAAUUCCACGUGUAGCGGUGAAAUGCGUAGAUAUGUGGAGGAACACCAGUGGCGAAGGCGGCUCUCUGGUCUGUAACUGACGCUGAGGCGCGAAAGCGUGGGGAGCAAACAGGAUUAGAUACCCUGGUAGUCCACGCCGUAAACGAUGAGUGCUAGGUGUUGGGGGGUUCCACCCUCAGUGCUGAAGUUAACACAUUAAGCACUCCGCCUGGGGAGUACGACCGCAAGGUUGAAACUCAAAGGAAUUGACGGGGGCCCGCACAAGCAGUGGAGCAUGUGGUUUAAUUCGAAGCAACGCGAAGAACCUUACCAGGUCUUGACAUCCUCUGCCACUCCUAGAGAUAGGACGUUCCCCUUCGGGGGACAGAGUGACAGGUGGUGCAUGGUUGUCGUCAGCUCGUGUCGUGAGAUGUUGGGUUAAGUCCCGCAACGAGCGCAACCCUUGAUCUUAGUUGCCAGCAUUCAGUUGGGCACUCUAAGGUGACUGCCGGUGACAAACCGGAGG
rnacentral:rRNA from 1 species